rnacentral:tRNA from 1 species
GUGGACGUAGCUCAGUUGGUAGAGCCCCGGAUUGUGGAUCCGGCUGUCGUGGGUUCGAGCCCCAUCGUCCACCCCA